rnacentral:tRNA from 1 species
GCGCCAUUAGCUCAAUAGGAAAGAGCAGCGGAUUUCUAAUCCGCCGGUUGUCUGUUCGAAUCAGGCAUGGUGCUCCA